CUGAUUUGAAGAGCUUGCUCAGAUAUGACGAUGGACAUUGCAAAGAGUGGCGAACGGGUGAGUAACACGUGGGAAACCUACCUCUUAGCAGGGGAUAACAUUUGGAAACAGAUGCUAAUACCGUAUAACAAUGACAACCGCAUGGUUGUUAUUUAAAAGAUGGUUCUGCUAUCACUAAGAGAUGGUCCCGCGGUGCAUUAGCUAGUUGGUAAGGUAAUGGCUUACCAAGGCGAUGAUGCAUAGCCGAGUUGAGAGACUGAUCGGCCACAAUGGGACUGAGACACGGCCCAUACUCCUACGGGAGGCAGCAGUAGGGAAUCUUCCACAAUGGGCGAAAGCCUGAUGGAGCAACGCCGCGUGUGUGAUGAAGGGUUUCGGCUCGUAAAACACUGUUGUAAGAGAAGAAUGACAUUGAGAGUAACUGUUCAAUGUGUGACGGUAUCUUACCAGAAAGGAACGGCUAAAUACGUGCCAGCAGCCGCGGUAAUACGUAUGUUCCAAGCGUUAUCCGGAUUUAUUGGGCGUAAAGCGAGCGCAGACGGUUAUUUAAGUCUGAAGUGAAAGCCCUCAGCUCAACUGAGGAAUUGCUUUGGAAACUGGAUGACUUGAGUGCAGUAGAGGAAAGUGGAACUCCAUGUGUAGCGGUGAAAUGCGUAGAUAUAUGGAAGAACACCAGUGGCGAAGGCGGCUUUCUGGACUGUAACUGACGUUGAGGCUCGAAAGUGUGGGUAGCAAACAGGAUUAGAUACCCUGGUAGUCCACACCGUAAACGAUGAGUGCUAGGUGUUUGAGGGUUUCCGCCCUUAAGUGCCGCAGCUAACGCAUUAAGCACUCCGCCUGGGGAGUACGACCGCAAGGUUGAAACUCAAAGGAAUUGACGGGGACCCGCACAAGCGGUGGAGCAUGUGGUUUAAUUCGAAGCAACGCGAAGAACCUUACCAGGUCUUGACAUCCCUUGACAACUCCAGAGAUGGAGCGUUCCCUUCGGGGACAAGGUGACAGGUGGUGCAUGGUUGUCGUCAGCUCGUGUCGUGAGAUGUUGGGUUAAGUCCCGCAACGAGCGCAACCCUUAUUACUAGUUGCCAGCAUUCAGUUGGGCACUCUAGUGAGACUGCCGGUGACAAACCGGAGGAAGGUGGGGAUGACGUCAAAUCAUCAUGCCCCUUAUGACCUGGGCUACACACGUGCUACAAUGGCGUAUACAACGAGUUGCCAACCCGCGAGGGUGAGCUAAUCUCUUAAAGUACGUCUCAGUUCGGAUUGUAGGCUGCAACUCGCCUACAUGAAGUCGGAAUCGCUAGUAAUCGCGGAUCAGCACGCCGCGGUGAAUACGUUCCCGGGUCUUGUACACACCGCCCGUCACACCAUGAGAGUUUGUAACACCCAAAGCCGGUGGG
rnacentral:rRNA from 1 species